rnacentral:rRNA from 1 species
AUGCUUGUCUCAAAGAUUAAGCCAUGCAUGUCUAAGUAUAAACAAGUCUAUACUGUGAAACUGCGAAUGGCUCAUUAAAUCAGUUAUAGUUUAUUUGAUAAUACCUUACUACUUGGAUAACCGUAGUAAUUCUAGAGCUAAUACAUGCUAAAAAACCCGACUUUACGGAAGGGUUGUAUUUAUUAGAUAAAAAACCAAUGCGGCCUCGGCCGGUUAUUUGGUGAUUCAUAAUAACUUAACGGAUCGCAUGGCCUCGUGCCGGCGAUAGUUCAUUCAAAUUUCUGCCCUAUCAACUUUCGAUGGUACGGUAUUGGCCUACCAUGGUUACAACGGGUAACGGGGAAUA